GGUUGAAAGCUCUUCGCAAGGGAAGAACGAUAAUCUAAUAAACUGUGUUAAUGACGGUUACCUGAAUAAGAAGCCCGGCUAACUACGUGCCAGCAGCCGCGGUAAUACGUAGGGUGCGAGCGUGAAUGGGAAUUACUGGGCGUAAAGCGUGCGCAGGCGGUUCUGAAAGUCAGAUGUGAAAUCCCCGGGCUCAACCUGGGAACUGCGUUUGAAACUCCAAAGCUAGAGUAUGGGAGAGGGGGGUAGAAUUCCACGUGUAGCAGUGAAAUGCGUAGAGAUGUGGAGGAAUACCAAAUGGCGAAGGCAGCCCCCUGGCUUAAUACUGACGCUCAUGCACGAAAGCGUGGGGAGCAAACAGGAUUAGAUACCCUGGUAGUCCACGCCCUAAACGAUGUCUACUAGUUGUUGGGAGAGUAAAAUCUCUUAGUAACGCAGCUAACGCGUGAAGUAUACCGCCUGGGGAGUACGGUCGCAAGAUUAACACUCACAGGAAUCGACGGGGGCCCGCACAAGCGGUGGAUUCUGUGGAUUACUUCGAUGCAACCGCGAGAGACCUUUACCUGUGCUUGACAUAUAGCGAACUUAGCAGAG
rnacentral:rRNA from 1 species